rnacentral:rRNA from 1 species
AGAGUUUGAUCAUGGCUCAGGACGAACGCUGGCGGCGUGCUUAACACAUGCAAGUCGAACGAUGAACCACUUCGGUGGGGAUUAGUGGCGAACGGGUGUGUAACACGUGGGCAAUCUGCCCUGCACUCUGGGACAAGCCCUGGAAACGGGGUCUAAUACCGGAUACUGAUCGCCUUGGGCAUCCUUGGUGAUCGAAAGCUCCGGCGGUGCAGGAUGAGCCCGCGGCCUAUCAGCUUGUUGGUGAGGUAAUGGCUCACCAAGGCGACGACGGGUAGCCGGCCUGAGAGGGCGACCGGCCACACUGGGACUGAGACACGGCCCAGACUCCUACGGGAGGCAGCAGUGGGGAAUAUUGCACAAUGGGCGAAAGCCUGAUGCAGCGACGCCGCGUGAGGGAUGACGGCCUUCGGGUUGUAAACCUCUUUCAGCAGGGAAGAAGCGAAAGUGACGGUACCUGCAGAAGAAGCGCCGGCUAACUACGUGCCAGCAGCCGCGGUAAUACGUAGGGCGCGAGCGUUGUCCGGAAUUAUUGGGCGUAAAGAGCUCGUAGGCGGCUUGUCGCGUCGGUUGUGAAAGCCCGGGGCUUAACCCCGGGUCUGCAGUCGAUACGGGCAGGCUAGAGUUCGGUAGGGGAGAUCGGAAUUCCUGGUGUAGCGGUGAAAUGCGCAGAUAUCAGGAGGAACACCGGUGGCGAAGGCGGAUCUCUGGGCCGAUACUGACGCUGAGGAGCGAAAGCGUGGGGAGCGAACAGGAUUAGAUACCCUGGUAGUCCACGCCGUAAACGGUGG